GACGAACGCUGGCGGCGUGCCUAACACAUGCAAGUCGAACGGGACUUGGAGGGCUUGCUCUCCAAGUUUAGUGGCGAACGGGUGAGUAACGCGUGAGAAACCUGCCUUUCAGUGGGGGACAACAGUUGAAAACGACUGCUAAUACCGCAUAAUGUAGCGAGGGGGCAUCCUCUUGCUACCAAAGCUUUAUGUGCUGAAAGAUGGUCUCGCGUCUGAUUAGCUAGUUGGUGGGAUAACGGCUCACCAAGGCGACGAUCAGUAGCCGGUCUGAGGGGAUGAACGGCCACAGUGGGACGGAGAUACGGCCCAGACUCCUACGGGAGGCAGCAGUGGGGAAUAUUGGGCAAUGGGGGAAACCCUGACCCAGCAACGCCGCGUGAAGGAAGAAGGCCUUCGGGCUGUAAACUUCUUUUAGCAGGGACGAAGGACGUGACGGUACCUGCAGAAAAAGCAACGGCUAACUACGUGCCAGCAGCCGCAGUAACAC
rnacentral:rRNA from 1 species